AGAGUUUGAUCAUGGCUCAGAGUGAACGCUGGCGGCAGGCCUAACACAUGCAAGUCGAGCGGCAGCGCAGCAGUAGCAAUACUGUGGGCGGCGAGCGGCGGACGGGUGAGGAAUACAUCGGAAUCUGCCUUGUUGUGGGGGAUAACGUAGGGAAACUUACGCUAAUACCGCAUAAGACCGUAAGGUGAAAGCGGGGGAUCGAAAGACCUCGCGCGACAAGAUGAGCCGAUGUCGGAUUAGCUAGUUGGCGGGGUAAUGGCCCACCAAGGCGACGAUCCGUAGCUGGUCUGAGAGGAUGAUCAGCCACACUGGAACUGAGACACGGUCCAGACUCCUACGGGAGGCAGCAGUGGGGAAUAUUGGACAAUGGGCGCAAGCCUGAUCCAGCCAUGCCGCGUGGGUGAAGAAGGCCUUCGGGUUGUAAAGCCCUUUUGUUCGGGACGAAAUCGUACGGGCGAAUAUCCCGUGCGGAUGACGGUACCGAAAGAAUAAGCACCGGCUAACUUCGUGCCAGCAGCCGCGGUAAUACGAAGGGUGCAAGCGUUACUCGGAAUUACUGGGCGUAAAGCGUGCGUAGGCGGUUUGUUAAGUCCGCUGUGAAAGCCCUGGGCUCAACCUGGGAAUUGCAGUGGAUACUGGCAAGCUAGAGUGCGGUAGAGGAUGGUGGAAUUCCCGGUGUAGCGGUGAAAUGCGUAGAGAUCGGGAGGAACACCAGUGGCGAAGGCGGCCGACUGGGCCGAUCCUGACGCUGAGACCCGAAAGCCAGGGUAGCGAACCGGAUUAGAUACCCUAGUAGUCC
rnacentral:rRNA from 1 species